rnacentral:lncRNA from 1 species
GCUAAAUAAUGCACAUGGAUCAACUAACUUAUCUAGGAACUUAAUUUCAGUUGGUAAAGAGGAUAUUUCCAAACAUGUUUUGCUACAGUGGGUCAUCAAUUAGAUUGGUGGAACACUGCUGUGUUAAAUGAUCUUUUAAGGUCUCUGACAUUCUAUGGAACACUUAAAAAGCAGUAGAUUUACACAAAAACUUCUUUUUAAAAAAAAGCAGAUUAUAUUCCAAGGUCAUAGGUCUGCUUUUCCAUUGCUGAUUCAGGUAACUGGCCACCAUAUUCAUCCGCUCUCCACCUCUCUCUGACACCAGCAGCAUCACCUUAAGGUGGUGGCCUUGUGCGUGUGAGCAAACCAUCUGUUUCCCCCACCCGGAAAGGUCUGGUGAUAGUGCUGAUGUCAUCAGGUGGAUCUGCUGAUGUCUUAGAAGUUAAUAACUUCAGCAUAUCCCUAAAUUAAGUCAUGUUUCUUUCAGCAAACUUCUCCAGAGGGACCAUCUGAUCCCAUUUUCAGACUACCAAGUUGAAGUAAGAACAGCCAACCCCAAAGCACACACAAUGCCAACUGCAUUUACUUGAUAACCAGCCGGUUGUCUUGGGCAGGCAUCUCGCGGGACACUGAUGAUGAAGCACAGAUCCAUGCCCUACUUUCUGCAGACUUAUACAAGGGAAACUUUGCUUGACAAUACCCAUGAAAGCAGAGUCCUCCUUGACUCUUCUGGCUGGCUCAGCAGGGGCUAAAAAAGUGCCGGAAUGCCUGUACAGGAACUCAUAAUCACAUCACUGGGUUUUGCAUGUGCAUUUCCCAGGGCCCAUUUUGAUCAGCCUGCUCAGGAAGGGUCAGUAAAAUUAAAGCAGAGAGGUCACCCCAAGGAUGAUAUCACCUGAAAGGUAGAGAAGAAGCCAUUAAAUGUUGCCAGGCAGGAAACAUCCAGGGGCUGCCCAGCACUGAACUGUGGGCACAGAGAGGGGGCUUGGUUAAAUGGACAGGGAAGAGGAAACAGGGCAGCCGCUGAUGAAGUUAUUCUUAGGUUUUGGUGGUCAGCUUUUGGGGGGAUUUGAUAUUGCCCAUUGUCCUAGAAGUGAACAAAAAGCAUAGGAACUUCUUCUUCUUCUUUUUUUUUUUUUUUUCAUUUUCUGGGAAUAAACAUC